rnacentral:rRNA from 2 species
CUUCUAUGACGUUAGCGGCGGACGGGUGAGUAACACGUGGGCAACCUGCCUGUAAGACUGGGAUAACUCCGGGAAACCGGAGCUAAUACCGGAUAACAUUUUUUCUUGCAUAAGAGAAAAUUGAAAGAUGGUUUCGGCUAUCACUUACAGAUGGGCCCGCGGUGCAUUAGCUAGUUGGUGAGGUAACGGCUCACCAAGGCAACGAUGCAUAGCCGACCUGAGAGGGUGAUCGGCCACACUGGGACUGAGACACGGCCCAGACUCCUACGGGAGGCAGCAGUAGGGAAUCUUCCGCAAUGGACGAAAGUCUGACGGAGCAACGCCGCGUGAGUGAUGAAGGCUUUCGGGUCGUAAAACUCUGUUGUUAGGGAAGAACAAGUACAAGAGUAACUGCUUGUACCUUGACGGUACCUAACCAGAAAGCCACGGCUAACUACGUGCCAGCAGCCGCGGUAAUACGUAGGUGGCAAGCGUUAUCCGGAAUUAUUGGGCGUAAAGCGC